rnacentral:rRNA from 1 species
GAUGAACGCUGGCGGUAUGCUUAACACAUGCAAGUCGAACGGACUCUUCGGAGUUAGUGGCGGACGGGUGAGUAACGCGUGAGAAUCUGGCUUUGGGUUCGGGACAACCACUGGAAACGGUGGCUAAUACCGGAUGUGCCGAGAGGUAAAAGAGAAAUUGCCUGAAGAUGAGCUCGCGUCUGAUUAGCUAGUUGGUGAGGUAAAGGCUCACCAAGGCAGCGAUCAGUAGCUGGUCUGAGAGGAUGACCAGCCACACUGGGACUGAGACACGGCCCAGACUCCUACGGGAGGCAGCAGUGGGGAAUUUUCCGCAAGGGGCGAAAGCCUGACGGAGCAAUACCGCGUGAGGGAAGAAGGCUCUUGGGUUGUAAACCUCUUUUCUUAGGGAAGAACAAAAUGACGGUACCUAAGUAAUCAGCAUCGGCUAACUCCGUG